rnacentral:lncRNA from 1 species
AAGAAAAAAUAAUAAUUCUAACCCUUCUAAUAAAAAGUGAUUAGUGCUGUGAUUCUCCUAUCCGAAGGGAAUCAUCUGUUCUUGGCUGAUUUUGAAUGUGGUAGCGUUCCAAACACUUUGUCCCAGAAGGAGGAGGUGAUACCAAAACCUUUGUUCUGGAUACGGAAAUGAUGAUUCAAGUGAUAUUUCUGUGAAAGAAGGGCAAAAGAUCAGUAGUUAGGAUCAUAUAACAGGUUAAGAAUACUGCAUCUUAUCGUGAUUCAUAAAUUGAGAUGAAAAUAUCAACAACCUAGAUGGACUGAUGAGCACAAUGUUUCGCAGCACGGUUACGUAACCCUUACACAAGUUGUCACAAGGAUGAAUGCCAAGUUCCAAUUAAACUGUAGCAUGAACAUAGUGGCAAAAUGAAAAAACUGGAACUGGAUUUUAAAGAAAAAAUAAUAAUUCUAACCCUUCUAAUAAAAAGUGAUUAGUGCUGUGAUUCUCCUAUCCGAAGGGAAUCAUCUGUUCUUGGCUGAUUUUGAAUGUGGUAGCGUUCCAAACACUUUGUCCCAGAAGGAGGAGGUGAUACCAAAACCUUUGUUCUGGAUACGGAAAUGAUGAUUCAAGUGAUAUUUCUGUGAAAGAAGGGCAAAAGAUCAGUAGUUAGGAUCAUAUAACAGGUUAAGAAUACUGCAUCUUAUCGUGAUUCAUAAAUUGAGAUGAAAAUAUCACUUCAAC